rnacentral:rRNA from 1 species
GAUGAACGCUGGCGGCGUGCUUAACACAUGCAAGUCGAACGAAGCACUUACCAAGGAUUCCUCCGGGAUGACUAGUAAGUGACUGAGUGGCGGACGGGUGAGUAACGCGUGGGUAACCUACCUCAUACAGGGGGAUAACAGUUAGAAAUGACUGCUAAUACCGCAUAAGCGCACAGUACUGCAUGGUACAGUGUGAAAAACUCCGGUGGUAUGAGAUGGACCCGCGUCUGAUUAGCUAGUUGGUAAGGUAACGGCUUACCAAGGCGACGAUCAGUAGCCGGCCUGAGAGGGUGAACGGCCACAUUGGAACUGAGACACGGUCCAA